AUCCAGCUGACGAGUCCAAAGUAGGGCGAAACGCACGUCUUGGAU
rnacentral:hammerhead_ribozyme from 1 species